rnacentral:rRNA from 1 species
UACGUAGGGGGCAAGCGUUGUCCGGAAUCAUUGGGCGUAAAGCGCGUGUAGGCGGUUCGGUAAGUCUGCUGUGAAAGUCCAGGGCUCAACCCUGGGAUGCCGGUGGAUACUGUCGGACUAGAGUACGGAAGAGGCGAGUGGAAUUCCCGGUGUAGCGGUGAAAUGCGCAGAUAUCGGGAGGAACACCAAUUGCGAAGGCAGCUCGCUGGGACGUCACUGAGCGCUGAGACGCGAAAGCGUGGGGAGCGAAGAGG